rnacentral:rRNA from 1 species
AUUGAACGCUGGCGGCAUGCCUUACACAUGCAAGUCGAACGGCAGCACGGGGGCAACCCUGGUGGCGAGUGGCGAACGGGUGAGUAAUGCAUCGGAACGUGCCCAGUAGUGGGGGAUAACCCGGCGAAAGCCGGGCUAAUACCGCAUACGACCCAAGGGUGAAAGCGGGGGACCGUAAGGCCUCGCGCUAUUGGAGCGGCCGAUGUCUGAUUAGCUAGUUGGCGGGGUAAGAGCCCACCAAGGCGACGAUCAGUAGCUGGUCUGAGAGGACGACCAGCCACACGGGGACUGAGACACGGCCCAGACUCCUACGGGAGGCAGCAGUGGGGAAUUUUGGACAAUGGGCGCAAGCCUGAUCCAGCCAUGCCGCGUGCGGGGAGAAGGCCUUCGGGUUGUAAACCGCUUUUGGCAGGAACGAAACGGCGCAAGCCAAUACCUUGCGCUAAUGACGGUACCUGCAGAAUAAGCACCGGCUAACUACGUGCCAGCCGCCGCAGUAACAC